CGAAUGCUGACAUAAGUAACGAUAAAGCGGGUGAAAAGCCCGCUCGCCGGAAGACCAAGGGUUCCUGUCCAACGUUAAUCGGGGCAGGGUGAGUCGACCCCUAAGGCGAGGCCGAAAGGCGUAGUCGAUGGGAAACAGGUUAAUAUUCCUGUACUUGGUGUUACUGCGAAGGGGGGACGGAGAAGGCUAUGUUGGCCGGGCGACGGUUGUCCCGGUUUAAGCGUGUAGGCUGGUUUUCCAGGCAAAUCCGGAAAAUCAAGGCUGAGGCGUGAUGACGAGGCACUACGGUGCUGAAGCAACAAAUGCCCUGCUUCCAGGAAAAGCCUCUAAGCAUCAGGUAACAUCAAAUCGUACCCCAAACCGACACAGGUGGUCAGGUAGAGAAUACCAAGGCGCUUGAGAGAACUCGGGUGAAGGAACUAGGCAAAAUGGUGCCGUAACUUCGGGAGAAGGCACGCUGAUAUGUAGGUGAAGUCCCUCGCGGAUGGAGCUGAAAUCAGUCGAAGAUACCAGCUGGCUGCAACUGUUUAUUAAAAACACAGCACUGUGCAAACACGAAAGUGGACGUAUACGGUGUGACGCCUGCCCGGUGCCGGAAGGUUAAUUGAUGGGGUCAGCGCAAGCGAAGCUCUUGAUCGAAGCCCCGGUAAACGGCGGCCGUAACUAUAACGGUCCUAAGGUAGCGAAAUUCCUUGUCGGGUAAGUUCCGACCUGCACGAAUGGCGUAAUGAUGGCCAGGCUGUCUCCACCCGAGACUCAGUGAAAUUGAACUCGCUGUGAAGAUGCAGUGUACCCGCGGCAAGACGGAAAGACCCCGUGAACCUUUACUAUAGCUUGACACUGAACAUUGAGCCUUGAUGUGUAGGAUAGGUGGGAGGCUUUGAAGUGUGGACGCCAGUCUGCAUGGAGCCGACCUUGAAAUACCACCCUUUAAUGUUUGAUGUUCUAACGUGGACCCGUGAUCCGGGUUGCGGACAGUGUCUGGUGGGUAGUUUGACUGGGGCGGUCUCCUCCUAAAGAGUAACGGAGGAGCACGAAGGUUGGCUAAUCCUGGUCGGACAUCAGGAGGUUAGUGCAAUGGCAUAAGCCAGCUUGACUGCGAGCGUGACGGCGCGAGCAGGUGCGAAAGCAGGUCAUAGUGAUCCGGUGGUUCUGAAUGGAAGGGCCAUCGCUCAACGGAUAAAAGGUACUCCGGGGAUAACAGGCUGAUACCGCCCAAGAGUUCAUAUCGACGGCGGUGUUUGGCACCUCGAUGUCGGCUCAUCACAUCCUGGGGCUGAAGUAGGUCCCAAGGGUAUGGCUGUUCGCCAUUUAAAGUGGUACGCGAGCUGGGUUUAGAACGUCGUGAGACAGUUCGGUCCCUAUCUGCCGUGGGCGCUGGAGAACUGAGGGGGGCUGCUCCUAGUACGAGAGGACCGGAGUGGACGCAUCACUGGUGUUCGGGUUGUCAUGCCAAUGGCACUGCCCGGUAGCUAAAUGCGGAAGAGAUAAGUGCUGAAAGCAUCUAAGCACGAAACUUGCCCCGAGAUGAGUUCUCCCUG
rnacentral:rRNA from 1 species